CAGUAGCCGCGGGAAUACGAAGGGUGCAAGCGUUAAUCGGAAUUACUGGGCGUAAAGCGUGCGUAGGCGGUGAGUUAAGUCUGCUGUGAAAUCCCCGGGCUCAACCUGGGAAUGGCAGUGGAUACUGGCUCGCUAGAGUGUGUCAGAGGAUGGUGGAAUUCCCGGUGUAGCGGUGAAAUGCGUAGAGAUGUGGAGGAAUACCGAUGGCGAAGGCAGCCCCCUGGGCCAAUACUGACGCUCAUGCACGAAAGCGUGGGGAGCAAACAGGAUUAGAUACCCCCGUAGUCCCUGUCUCUUAUAC
rnacentral:rRNA from 1 species